UUGUCAUUUAUCUUUGUUUACUGGUGUCUCAUACAUGGAACUUGAAAGGUGACAAAACUGAACUUGACAGAACUCAGAGGAGACUUUUCAGAAUCAGAAAUGUAUAUACAGUGCCUUAUUUGGAAGUCACUAAGACUGAAUGGUGUCAUUGAGAAAGAACUCUCCCAAUUGUGCAACUUUCAUUAAGAAGCAUAAGGUUAAGGGGCGCCUGGGUGGCUCAGUCGGUUAAGUGUCUGACUUCGGCUCAGGUCAUGAUUUCAGUUUGUGAGUUCGAGUCCUGCAUCAGGCUCUGUGCUGACAGCUCAGAGCCUGGAGCCUGCUUCAGAUUCUGUCUCCCUCUCUCUCUGCCCUGCCCCUGCUCAUGCCAUCUCUCUCUCUCUCUC